CAAGAUACAUCAUGUACAGGUACAAACACCCAAUGAUAAAUGUAAAUGAAUUGUAUACCUAAAAUGUACCAAUAAAAGAACUAAAGAAAAAAGAAAUAGUGUCUGACUCCACCUUCUUCCCAGCUGGAGGACCUGGAGGUCAAUGUGGCUGAUCACAUCCAGAAGGUCAUGAAAGUGAACUUUGAAGCUGCCUGGGAUGAGGUGGGGGACGAGUUUGAAAAGGAGGAGACAUUCACGCUAUCCACCAUCAAGACGCUGGAAGAGGCUGUGGGCAACAUUGUGAAGUUCUUGGGAAUGCAUGCGUGUGAGAGGUCAGACAAAGUGCCAGACAACAAGAACACACACACACUGCUCCUGGCAGGUGAGCAGCACUUCCAGGGGGAGGGCUGGGGACCCCACUGGGGACACGAGGAGUCAGGGUCCACUGCUUCUAAAUCUUGCACACUUGGAAUCCUAGACUUGGAGGCCAAGGCAGGAGGAUUGCAAGUUCAAGUCCCACCUGGGCAACUUAGUGAGACCUUGUUUCAAGAUAUGGGCUGGGAAUGUGACUCAGUGCAGAGACCCUGGGUUCAAAAUCCAGUACCACAAAAGGCCUGGGGAUUUAGCUCAGUGGCACCACGCCUGCCUUGUAAACGCAAGGUUCUGAGUUUGAUCCCUGGUACAGAAAAAAAAAAAUCCAGUACCAUAAAAAAAGGGGAAAAAAUUCACAAAGUAUAAAAAGAGACCUGUGACAAGAUGUCCCCCUUCCCUACCUUUGUUGCCACCCAUCUAGCAGGUGACACUGUUAUAAACUGCCUGUGUAUCAUCUGGUCAUUUUAUGGCUAUAAAAAUACAGGAAGCUGUAAUCUCAGCUACUUGGGAGGCUGAGGCAGGCGGACUGAAAGUGUCUGCCCAGCCCGGGCAAAUUAUCAAGACCAUGUCUCAAAAUAAAAAAAGCUGGGACCGGGGCUUUAGCUCAGUGGUUCCACUGCCUGUCUUGCAAGCACAAGGUCCCAAGUUCGAUCCCUGGUACCAAAAAAUAAAUAAAAAGAGCUGUGGGUUAGCUCAGUAAUAGAGUGAUUGCCUCAUGUGUGAGGCCUGGGUUCCAUCCCCAUAACUGCAAAAAGAAGUUAAUAGGAAUACAUUUCCAUUGUGAAAUUCAGAUGUAUAAAUGGUAUACAUUGUUCUGCACUUGACUUUUUCACUUUAUAGUGUGCCUGGGGACGAUCCUUGUCAAUAUGUAGAGCUUUCUUAUUCUUUCACCUCUUAAUUAUGGUUAAAUAUAUAUAACAAGCUAGGCAUGGUGGUGCAUGCCUGCAAUCCCAUCCUUCUGGGAAGGUGAGGCAAGAGGAUCAUACUUUUUGUUUUUUUGGUACCAGGGAUCGAAUUCGGGUCCUUGCGCUUGCGAGGCAGGUGGCGGAACAACUGAGCUACAUCUCCGGCCGUCAAAAUUUAAAAAUACACAAAAAGGGCUGGGGAUAUAGUUCAGUGAAAAGGUUCAAUAACCAGUACCACAAAAAGGAAAAAAGAAAAAAUGUAAAUUUUUUUGGAGGGUGUUACUGGGGAUUGAGCCCAGGGCCCUUGCACUGAGCUAUAUCCCUAGCCCUUUAUGUAUAUUUUAUUUUUUGUUUUGGUUUGGUUUUUUUGGUACUGGGCAUUGAACUCGGGACCUUGGGCUUUCGAGGCAGGCAGUGGAACCUCUGAGCUAAAUCCCUGGCUCCCUUUAUAUAUAUUUUAAAACAGGGUCUCACUAAGUUGCUAAGUUGUCCAGGCUGGACUUGAACUUGUAAUCCACCUGCCUCAGCCUCCCAGACUGCUGCGAUUACAGGCGUGUGCCACCACACCUGGCUAAAAAAAUUUACUAUUUUUAAGUGUACAAUUUAGUGCAUUAGGUACUUUCACACUGUUGUGUUACCAUCACCAGGAUCCAUCUCCAGAACUUUUUCAUUAUCCCAAACUGCAUGAAUCCCUAAUCCCUUUUUAUGACAGCCCAGUAACCCAUUGUAUAGAUGUACUGUAUCUCAUGGAAUUGCCCCCUAGUGAUGGACAUUUAGUUGUUACCAAUUUUUUGUUAUCGCCAAUGAUGCUACGACUAAUCACUCACACUUAUUUCAUAUGUGCACACUGAGAGUAUCUGUGUUAAAUUUCCCAGGACAUGACUGGGUCAAAGUGAUUGACAUUUCUCCUUUUGGUAAAUAAUUCCCAGUUGUCCUUAAGAAUCAUAUGCCUUUCCUUCGACACUGGGGACAACAGAAGAUAGCAUCAAACUUUAUGACUUUUGCCGGUAUGGGUGAAAAAUGUUAUCUUCGUGUAGUUUUAAUGUCCAUUUCUUCUGUUUGGAAUGAAGUUAGCCAUCUUCCAUUUGUAUUUCUUGUUCAGUGGUAUGCCUACUUUUCCUUGUCUGAGUGUCUAUUGGCAUGGUUACUCUUUUUGUUUGUUUGUUUGGAGAUAAGAAUCUCGCUGUGUAGCCCAGGCUGGCCUCAAAGUCAUGGCAAUCCUCCUGCCUCUGCUUCCCAAGUGCUGGGAUUACAGGCAUGUGGCACCACAGCCAAUUCUGGUUGCUCUUUUUUUUUUUUAAUUAAUUUUUUUGGGGGGACUGGAGAUUGAACUCAGAACCUUGCACUUUUGAGUCAGGCACCGGAACCACUGAGCUAAAUCUCCAGCCCUGGUUGCUCUUUUCUAACAAUAGGCAUUUGGGGCCAGGGAUUGAGCUUAGCGGUACAGCGGCUACUUAGCAUGUGGGAGGCCCUGAGUUGGAUCUCCAGCACCAUCAAUGGGCAUUCAAGCAUCUCCGCUGAGAAAUCUUCAGAUGUACACAAAGAUGGAAGAGUGUAACGAACCCCAGAGUUCAUCCCCCAGCCUCCACAUUAGCAGCACCUGCACUCACCCGCCAGCAUUUCACAUGUGAAUAUUUCAGCAUCUGCACUUCUCUUUGAGAUAACGAUGCUGUGUGAAUAGUUAUACGUAUAACACUUAGUGUAAGGAAAUGGGACUUUUUAAAAUUUGGCUGAGUGUUUAUACUCAGGGUUGGGCGGAUGUCUGCUUACAGCUGACAGCCUCCACCCCCAUCCUUUCUGGACACAUUGAAGCAGCUUGGUCCCCUGGGCCCUGCAGCCACCUGCUGUGCAGUUUGUCUUGGUGGGACUAUCCCUGUGUGAGCGCCUCUGUCAUAUCAGGCACCAGCCUUAAACGUUCCAUGAAUUCAUUUGAGCUAGGCAGGAGCUGAACAAUGGUAUCCUUAUUCCCUCCACUCUGUGGUUGCAAAUCCUGGGGCUCAUUGAAGCCAAGUGGCUUGCGUAGGCCCAGCUUGGGGACCUCACCCCACUGCUCUCCAGUGCUGCCUUCAUCAGCUGUUGCAAACAGCAGCCUCAGCCAGGCCUGCAGCCCUUCUGCCUCACACAGCCUUAUCUCUCUCUUCCCUGCCAGGCGGGCUCCGGGGUGGUCAUGACAUCCUCGUGCGCUCGUGGCUGCUGCUUUUGGACACAGUGACAAUGCAGGUGACAGCCCAAAGUUCAGAGGAGUUGCCAGUCGACAUCAUCUUGGCAUCUGUGGGCUAAGAGGCCCCCACAGAGGCCCAUCCUCCUCCCCAACACUAUGCAGAAGUCUCGCCUUUCUUUAGCACGAGUCUGGUGGAAACCCCUUCCCCAGCUUCUGUAUUCAGACACAGACGAAUCAUUAUGGCUUUUGUUUUGAAUUCUGUACCCUCAUUCAGAACUGCUGGAAGGUAGCUUUUUAAAACAGGAUUAUUUUAGGUUUUCCUAGAUCAUGCUGUCUUGCCUGUGAGGGAAGAGACAUCACAAAUGAAUAAAGUUCAUACCUCUUCUUGAAUUUAUCCCCAAAGAAACAUAUCCCCUCCCUAUAUAAUAAACAAGCAUGUAUUUAUGGACUGACAUCUUCUUCAGCAGGCUCAUCCUUGGGGCUCCACCUUCCCGCUCCUGUCCCCUCUACACCCACAGCCCUGCCCAGGACCCAGCCCCUCGGGUGCCUUCACGGCCGUCCUCUGUAAAUGAUAAAUGGGGGUCCCAGUGGUCGGGGGUUAAUGCCCGGGUUUCUGCUCCGUUAGUUGGGUCCAGUGAGUGGCAAGCCAGGAGUGGCCCAAAUACACCGGAAGUGCCUGUUUCUAAAGCGGGAGCCUCGUCGCGGUCAGGAGGAUCCCAAGUUCAAUCUGGUGGGACCCUGGCUCAAAAUAAUAAAAAGAUGAGGCAGCUCUGCAGAGGCCCUAGGAUUCCACUCCGGUACCGGUACAUAUGCAGGGUCAGCCCUAGGACAUUGGGAUUGUUUGCCAGCAUGGGAGAGCCGAAGGUCUCGCUCUGGUGCUCAAUGGUUUAGGCCACUGGUAUGGGCCAGCAGUUUCCCCUUUUCUCCAGUUGGCCCACCCUGAACAUCCACGUGGGUUGAAAUUGAGAAAGCAGGGUGCCCAGGAGCCAGCGAGGGGUGGGGGGUGGGGGUGUUAACCUCGCCAGUCUGAGACGCUCCCGGCCACGCGUCCCUUCAGGCGCUGUCUCGGGUACUUCCGGAAGGCCCUCAGCCCCGAGGGGCCGCGCCGCUUGGGGGCGGGGCCUAUCCCGGGGCCGGGCCUGGCGCCUGAGCGAGAUUGGCAGGGUUGAGAGCACACCCCCAUAGUGAGGGAGGCGACACUAGGCUGGCUCCCCGGCUGAGAAAAGGUGAGACGACGCUCCGCUCGCGCGCGCGGCGCUCAGUUCAAGGCCGGGUUUCUCGAGGUAGCGGGAAGGGGCACUGGGGCCGGGGCCUUGGGGCCGUCCGCGCCCUCACGUGGGUCGAGCCGCUCUUCACCCCCCAGACCGAGCGGGACCGGAAGUGGGGUGGAUUGAGCCACCACCGGGCCGGGGCGCGGGCUCCCGUGCCACAGGGUCCGAGCUUGGAGUCGGCCACUUGGAGUCGGUCGGGGACCCUGCUUUCCACUUCCGCGGCUCGCGUGUUGCCGGACCGGGCCCCGAGGUGGGGAGCAACACGAGCAAACCCUGCCAGGCGGGAGCUCUGGGAAGUUUCCAGAGAGUCGCGGCGGUGCUGCGGAUCGGAUCCCAGCACAGGCAUCUGAGGCUAGAGGAUCGCCGCCAGUCGAGGCCAGCCUGAAUGCAUAGCGAGACCCUGUGCAAAAAAACACAAGAAAAAGCCCCAGCGUCGGAGGCCCGGGAGCGCUCCCCUCCCUGUGCUUGCUGAUUGCAGGGCGAGCGCGGCGACGAUGUGUGGGCGGACGUCCUGCCAUCUGCCCAGGGACGCGCUGACCAGGGCCUGC
rnacentral:lncRNA from 1 species